rnacentral:rRNA from 1 species
UACAGAGGGGGCAAGCGUUAUUCGGAAUUAUUGGGCGUAAAGCGCGUGUAGGCGGCUUUGCAAGUCGGGUGUGAAAGCCCUCAGCUUAACUGAGGAAGUGCGCCCGAAACUGCAGAGCUUGAGUACCGGAGAGGAUGGUGGAAUUCCCCAAGUAGAGGUGAAAUUCGUAGAUAUGGGGAGGAACACCGGUGGCGAAGGCGACCAUCUGGACGGAUACUGACGCUGAGACGCGAAAGCGUGGGUAGCAAACGAGG